rfam:Gammaproteobacteria bacterium SG8_31 WOR_8-12_8086, whole genome shotgun sequence.
GCCCGGGUGGCGGAACUGGUAGACGCAGCGGACUUAAAAUCCGCUAGGAGAAAUCCUGUGUGGGUUCGACUCCCGCCCCGGGCA